rnacentral:rRNA from 1 species
UACGAAGGGGGCUAGCGUUGUUCGGAAUCACUGGGCGUAAAGCGCACGUAGGCGGACCUGCAAGUCGGGGGUGAAAGCCCGAGGCUCAACCUCGGAACUGCCUUCGAUACUGCGGGUCUCGAGUCCGGGAGAGGUGAGUGGAAUUCCUAGUGUAGAGGUGAAAUUCGUAGAUAUUUAGGAAGAACACCAGUGGCGAAGGCGGCUCACUGGCCCGGUACUGACGCCUGAGGCGCGAAAGCGUGGGGAGCAAACAGG